UCAAGUUAGUAAGGGCAUACGGUGGAUGCCUAGGCGCCAAGAGCCGAAGAAGGACGCGGUAAGCUGCGAAAAGUCAUGGGGAGCCGCAAGCAGGCCCUGAUCCAUGAAUAUCCGAAUGGGGGAACCCAAUGGUGGUCAUGCACCAUUACCUGACUCCGGUUAGGAGGGCACCCGGGGAACUGAAACAUCUAAGUACCCGGAGGAAAAGUAAUCAAACGAGAUUCCCUAAGUAGCGGCGAGCGAACGGGGAAGAGCCCAAACCAGUGGACUUCGGUCGACUGGGGUUGAGGACUGACAACAAACAAACGAGCUCUAGCCGAAUCAUCUGGAAAGAUGAGUCACAGAAGGUAACAACCCUGUAGGCGAAAGAGAGAGUUUGCGGGUCAGAAUCCAGAGUACCACGGGACACGAGGAACCCUGUGGGAAGCAGGGGGGACCACCCUCCAAGGCAAAAUACUCGUGGCGACCGAUAGCGCAUAGUACCGUGAGGGAAAGGUGAAAAGCACCCCGGGAGGGGAGUGAAAAAGAACCUGAAACCGUAUGCCUACAAGCAGUCGAAGGCCCGUAUGAGGCUGACGGCGUGCCUAUUGAAGAAUGAACCGGCGAGUUACAGUAUCCAGCAAGGUUAAGUGGCAGACACGGAGCCGAAGCGAAAGCGAGUCUAAAGAGGGCGAAAGUUGGAUAAUGUAGACCCGAAACCGCAGUGAUCUAUCCAUGGCCAGGUUGAAGCGCAGGUAAAAAUGCGUGGAGGACCGAACCCGUGAGCGUUGAAAAGCUUUGGGAUGAGUUGUGGAUAGGGGUGAAAUGCCAAUCGAACGCGGAGAUAGCUGGUUCUCCCCGAAAUAGCUUUAGGGCUAGCCUCAGGAAAUAAGUACAGACGGUAGAGCACUGAUAGGGCUAGGGGCCUAAUGGGUUACUGAACCUUGUCAAACUACGAAUGGAUGUACUCGAACCCUGGGAGUCAGACUACGAGUGAUAAGACCCGUGGUCAAGAGGGAAACAGCCCAGACCAUCAGCUAAGGUCCCGAAUGCCGUACUAAGUGGCAAAGGAUGUGGAGAUACAAAAACAACCAGGAUGUUGGCUUAGAAGCAGCCACCAUUGAAAGAGUGCGUAAUAGCUCACUGGUCGAGUGUCGCUGCGCCGAAGAUGUCCGGGGCUAAAGUACGGAACCGAAGCUAUGGCUUUUUGGAUGUUGGACUUUGGACAUUGGACGUUAGAAAAGGACGUGUAAAAAGUGUCAUAUGAGAACUUAGAAAUAUAUAAGUUAGCCUAUGAACUGGCUUUAAAAACACACAAACUAACGACAAACUUUCCGAAACAUGAAACCUGCGAAAUAGGAAGCCAGUUGCGAAGGGCGGCUGUAUCCAUAGUGCUAAACCUAGCGGAAGGAUAUGGACGCAAAGAGCAUCAACAAGAUUUAAAAAACUUCCUGAUAACAGCAGUAGGCUCAUGCAACGAGACAACCGUUUUAAUCAAAAUGGUGAGAGAUUUGGGAUAUAUAAGUGAAGAAGAGAGCAAAGAGAUGCUCAAUUCUUACGAGCGCUUGGGAAAACAGACCAACAAAUUUAUCCAAGCAAUAAAAAAUCCAAAAUCCAGCGUCUAAAGUCCAACAUCCAAAAGGGGUAGGGGAGCGUUCUAUACACGAAGAAGGUAUACCGUAAGGAGUGCUGGAGAGUAUAGAAGUGAGAAUGCCGGUAUGAGUAGCGAAAAGACAAGUGAGAAUCUUGUCCACCGAAAGCCUAAGGAUUUCUGAGGAAGGAUCGUCCGCUCAGAGUUAGUCGGGCCCUAAGCCGAGGCGAAAAGCGUAGGCGAUGGACAACUGGUAAAAAGUCCAGUACCACCUGGAAUCGAUUGAGCGAGGGAGUGACACAGGAGGGUAGGCAAGCGCGAGGAUGGAAAUUCGCGUCUAAGCUUGUAGGGUGCAUCACAGGCAAAUCCGUGAUGCUAAAACCUGAGGAGUGAUGGGCAGCUGUUAGAGAUAAUGGCGAAAUUGCUGAUCCCAGACUGUCAAGAAAAGCUUCUAGUGAGAGACCAGGUGCCCGUACCGUAAACCGACACAGGUAGGCGGGGAGAGAAUCCUAAGGUGCGCGGGAGAACCCUCGUUAAGGAACUCGGCAAAAUGUCCCCGUAACUUCGGGAAAAGGGGAGCUUGUAAACCGUGUAGAUCAGAAGCGAACGAAGCGGGAAUGAGUUGCAAAAAAGAGGCCCAAGCGACUGUUUACCACAAACACAGGUGCCUGCUAAAGCGAAAGCUGACGUAUAGGUGCUGACACCUGCCCGGUGCCGGAAGGUUAAGAGGAGAGCUUAGAGCAAUCGAAGGUUUGAAUUGAAGCCCCGGUAAACGGCGGCCGUAACUAUAACGGUCCUAAGGUAGCGAAAUUCCUUGUCGGGUAAGUUCCGACCCGCACGAAAGGUGUAACGACUUGGGCACUGUCUCAACGAGGGACCCGGUGAAAUUGAAAUACCUGUGAAGAUGCAGGUUACCCGCGACUGGACAGAAAGACCCCAUGGAGCUUUACUGCAACCUGACAUUGAGUUUUGGUAAAUGAUGUACAGGAUAGGUGGGAGACAGGGAAGUGCGGACGCAAGUCUGUAUGGAGUCGAUGUUGGGAUACCACCCUUUAUUUACUGGAGUUCUAACUCAAGGAGUAACGAAACUGAGGACAGUGUCAGGCGGGCAGUUUGACUGGGGCGGUCGCCUCCGAAAGAGUAACGGAGGCGCCCAAAGGUUCCCUCAGCGCGGCUGGAAAUCGCGCGAAGAGUGUAAAGGCAGAAGGGAGCUUGACUGCAAGACAGACAAGUCGAGCAGGGACGAAAGUCGGGCUUAGUGAUCCGGUGGUACCGAGUGGAAGGGCCAUCGCUCAACGGAUAAAAGCUACCCUGGGGAUAACAGGCUAAUCUCUCCCAAGAGUCCAUAUCGACGGGGAGGUUUGGCACCUCGAUGUCGGCUCAUCACAUCCUGGGGCUGAAGUAGGUCCCAAGGGUUGGGCUGUUCGCCCAUUAAAGUGGUACGUGAGCUGGGUUCAGAACGUCGUGAGACAGUUCGGUCCCUAUCCAUCGCGGGCGUAAGAGACUUGAAGGGAACUGCUCCUAGUACGAGAGGACCGGAGUGGACGGACCGCUGGUGUACCAGUUAUCCCGCCAGGGGUAGAGCUGGGUAGCUACGUCCGGAAAGGAUAAACGCUGAAAGCAUCUAAGCGUGAAACCAGCCUUAAGAUGAGGUCUGUCAUUCGCAAGAAGUAAGGCCCCUUGAAGAAGACAAGGUAGAUAGGCCAGGAGUGGAAGUGGAGCAAUUCAUGGAGCGGACUGGUACUAAUAGGCCGAGGACUUGACU
rnacentral:rRNA from 1 species